rnacentral:rRNA from 1 species
UACGUAGGGGGCAAGCGUUGUCCGGAUUUACUGGGCGUAAAGAGCGUGUAGGCGGCCACGCAGGUCCGUUGUGAAAACUGGAGGCUCAACCUUCAGACGUCGACGGAAACCGUAUGGCUAGAGUCCGGAAGAGGAGAGUGGAAUUCCUGGUGUAGCGGUGAAAUUCGUAGAUAUCAGGAGGAACACCGGUGGCGAAGGCGGCUUCCUGGCCAUUCACUGACGCUGAGACGCGAAAGCGUGGGGAGCAAACAGG